UGGGUCACCUCCUUGUCUUACCACCUCCUGAGACAUCCCAUCCUACCUUUCAGCCAUGAAGCUCUUGGCCAUCCUCUCAGCUGUUCUCUUCUUUGUCCUGAUGGCUGCUCCGGCAGUUGAUGGUGGGCCAUCAUCAAGCUCUGGAUGUCAUGCUGCUAGAGGCUACUGUUACUUUAUUGAUUGUCCACGAGGAAGAAGGCAAAUUGGGAACUGUGGCUCACUUAGACGUCCUUGCUGCAAAUGACCAGUUGCUGAUUAUUCACAUUCGCUUUCUCAGAGGCACUGAGGGUGGUCCUUCUGCUGUAUCGCCAUGCUCACUCCUAGAAUCAACGCUCAUUUGAGCUCUCAACAGAGUCUCUCUGAAUCCGAUUCUUUUUCUAUCCUUAUCAAUUAAAGAUUCAUCUGCAUU